AUCUAUCUGAUCACUAGGGAAUUCCCUAAAUUCCUCCAGAAAAAACUUUGUGGCCUGACAUCCGAGGAUGUCAGGCCACAAAGUUUUUUUCUGGAGGAAUUUAGGGAAUUCCCUAGUGAUCAGAUCCGAGGAUGUCAGCCCAUGUUUUUUAUUUUAUUGUAUUUU